rnacentral:rRNA from 1 species
UACGGAGGGUGCAAGCGUUGUUCGGAAUCAUUGGGCGUAAAGCGCGUGUAGGCGGCUAGGCAAGUCGGUUGUGAAAGCCCGGGGCCCCAACCCCGGAACUGCAUCUGAAACUGCCUGGCUAGAGUCCCGGAGAGGAAGGCAGAAUUCCCGGUGUAGGGGUGAAAUCCGUAGAUAUCGGGAGGAAUACCAGCGGCGAAGGCGGCCUUCUGGACGGUGACUGACGCUGAGACGCGAAAGCGUGGGGAGCAACAGG